rnacentral:rRNA from 1 species
ACUCCUACGGGAGGCAGCAGUAGGGAAUCUUCCACAAUGGGCGCAAGCCUGAUGGAGCAACACCGCGUGAGUGAAGAAGGGUUUCGGCUCGUAAAGCUCUGUUGUUAAAGAAGAACACGUAUGAGAGUAACUGUUCAUACGUUGACGGUAUUUAACCAGAAAGUCACGGCUAACUACGUGCCAGCAGCCGCGGUAAUACGUAGGUGGCAAGCGUUAUCCGGAUUUAUUGGGCGUAAAGAGAGUGCAGGCGGUUUUCUAAGUCUGAUGUGAAAGCCUUCGGCUUAACCGGAGAAGUGCAUCGGAAACUGGAUAACUUGAGUGCAGAAGAGGGUAGUGGAACUCCAUGUGUAGCGGUGGAAUGCGUAGAUAUAUGGAAGAACACCAGUGGCGAAGGCGGCUACCUGGUCUGCAACUGACGCUGAGAUUCGAAAGCAUGGGUAGCGAACAGGAUUAGAUACCCUGGUAGGCUAGCG